GCAAGAGUAGUUUAAUAAAAAACAUUAGAUUGUGAUUCUAAAAAUAAAGAAUAAUAAACCUUUCUCUCGCC
rnacentral:tRNA from 1 species